rnacentral:rRNA from 1 species
GAUGAACGCUGGCGGCGUGCCUAAUACAUGCCAGUCGAGCGAACGGACGAGAAGCUUGCUUCUCUGAUGUUAGCGGCGGACGGGUGAGUAACACGUGGAUAACCUACCUAUAAGACUGGGAUAACUUCGGGAAACCGGAGCUAAUACCGGAUAAUAUUUUGAACCGCAUGGUUCAAAAGUGAAAGACGGUUUUGCUGUCACUUAUAGAUGGAUCCGCGCUGCAUUAGCUAGUUGGUAAGGUAACGGCUUACCAAGGCAACGAUGCAUAGCCGACCUGAGAGGGUGAUCGGCCACACUGGAACUGAGACACGGUCCAGACUCCUACGGGAGGCAGCAGUAGGGAAUCUUCCGCAAUGGGCGAAAGCCUGACGGAGCAACGCCGCGUGAGUGAUGAAGGUCUUCGGAUCGUAAAACUCUGUUAUUAGGGAAGAACAUAUGUGUAAGUAACUGUGCACAUCUUGACGGUACCUAAUCAGAAAGCCACGGCUAACUACGUG